rnacentral:rRNA from 1 species
UGGCGGACGGGUGAGUAAUGUCUGGGAAACUGCCCGAUGGAGGGGGAUAACUACUGGAAACGGUAGCUAAUACCGCAUAACGUCGCAAGACCAAAGAGGGGGACCUUAGGGCCUCUUGCCAUCGGAUGUGCCCAGAUGGGAUUAGCUAGUAGGUGGGGUAAUAGCUCACCUAGGCGACGAUCCCUAGCUGGUCUGAGAGGAUGACCAGCCACACUGGAACUGAGACACGGUCCAG